GACAGAGGAUGCAGCGUUAUCCGGAAUGAUUGGGUGUACGGUAAAGCGUCUGUGAGGUUGGACUUUUUAAGUCCGCCGGUCAAAAUUCCCAGGGCUACAACCCUGGACAGGCGGUGGAACCUUACCAAGCUGGAGUGACGGUAGGGGUAGAGGGAAUUUCCAUGUGGAGGCGGUAGAAAUGCGUAGAGUAUUGGAAAAGACCACCAAUGCGAAGGCACUCUAACUGGGCC
rnacentral:rRNA from 1 species